AACGAACGCUGGCGGCAUGCCUACACAUGCAAGUCGAACGAGACCUUCGGGUCUAGUGGCGCACGGGUGCGUAACGCGUGGGAACCUGCCUUUAGGUUCGGAAUAACUCAGAGAAAUUUGAGCUAAUACCGGAUGAUGUCUUCGGACCAAAGAUUUAUCGCCUUUAGAUGGGCCCGCGUUGGAUUAGCUAGUUGGUGGGGUAAAGGCCUACCAAGGCGACGAUCCAUAGCUGGUCUGAGAGGAUGAUCAGCCACACUGGGACUGAGACACGGCCCAGACUCCUACGGGAAGCAGCAGUGGGGAAUAUUGGACAAUGGGCGAAAGCCUGAUCCAGCAAUGCCGCGUGAGUGAUGAAGGCCUUAGGGUUGUAAAGCUCUUUUACCCGAGAUGAUAAUGACAGUAUCGGGAGAAUAAGCUCCGGCUAACUCCGUG
rnacentral:rRNA from 1 species